UACGGAGGGUGCAAGCGUUGUUCGGAAUUACUGGGCGUAAAGCGCGCGUAGGCGGUUUGCUAAGUCAGAUGUGAAAGCCCAUGGCUCAACCAUGGACGUGCAUUUGAAACUGGCGGACUUGAGUAUUGGAGGGGGUGGUGGAAUUCCCGGUGUAGAGGUGAAAUUCGUAGAUAUCGGGAGGAAUACCGGUGGCGAAGGCGACCACCUGGCCAAAUACUGACGCUGAUGUGCGAAAGCGUGGGGAGCAAACAGG
rnacentral:rRNA from 1 species